UAUCUUCGGGGACGGGUGAAAUUCCCUACCGGCAGUAAAGUCUGCGAAGCCUUAGAGGCCCGAACCGGUGUGAUUCCGGUACCGACAGUAAAGUCUGGAUGAGAGAAGGU
rnacentral:ncRNA from 1 species